AUACGGCGAACCUGUCCGUCUGACAUGGCGCUCCGAGAAGCGCACCGUCCACCUAAAUAAAUAUUAACUGGCGGACUGCUUACACUUUUUGCACAGUAUCCGGAGAUAUUUUACUUGAACUAGUUUCCCUGAAACAUAAAGGUGCCAUGGAGGGCAACAAGCCAUCCCUUGCGCUGGUCUACCGGGCCGUCCAGGCGCUGUACCACGACCCGGAUCCUGCCGGCAAAGAGCGAGCCUCCGUGUGGCUCGGGGAGCUGCAGAGAUCGAUGUACGCCUGGGAGAUCUCUGACCAGCUUCUGCAGCUGCAGCAGGACGUGGAGUCCUGUUACUUUGCCGCCCAGACCAUGAAGAUGAAAAUACAGACCUCAUUCUAUGAACUUCCAGCCGAAACCUACACGGCCCUCCGGGACUCGCUGCUGUCUCAUAUACAGAGGCUCAGAGACCUCUCCCCCGUCAUCGUCACUCAGCUUGCUCUAGCGAUUGCAGAUUUAGCCCUUCAGAUGACUUCUUGGAAGGGCUGUGUCCAGACUCUCAUAGAAAAGUACAGCAGUGACGUCUCCUCCAUGCCCUUCCUGAUAGAGAUCCUGACCGUGCUGCCCGAGGAGGUACACAGCCGCUCCCUGCGCAUCGGAACCAAUCGUCGGACGGAGAUCACCGAGGAUUUAAACUUGUACUCCAACUCUGUCGUCACUCUGCUGGUAUCAUGUGUCGAGAAAACCGGCAAUAAUGAGAAGAUGUUGAUGAAGGUCUUCCGGUGCUUGAGCAGCUGGUUUAACCUGGGCGUCCUGGACCACAACUUCAUGGCCAGCAACCAGCUCCUCGUCAUCCUCUUCCAAGUGCUACAGCGGGACGAGACGGCCACCAAUCUGCAUGAGGCAGCCUCAGACUGCGUCUGCUCGGCGCUGUACGCCAUCGAGAAUGUGGACAGCCACGUGCCGCUUGCCCUGCAGCUCUUCCAGGGCGUGCUCACGCUGGAAACCGCUUACCACAUGUCGGUGGCCCGUGAGGACCUGGACAAGGUGCUUAAUUACUGUCGCAUCUUCACGGAGCUGUGUGAGACCUUCCUGGAGGCGAUGGUGCGUAGCCCAGGACAGGGCAUGGGGAACCUCCGAUCCCUGGAGCUGCUUCUCAUCUGCACGGGACACCCCCAGUACGAGGUGGUGGAGAUCUCCUUUAAUUUCUGGUACCGCCUGGGCGAGCACCUGUACAAGACCAGUGAUGUCAUGCUGCAUGGAAUCUUCCGGCCCUACAUCCAGAGGCUACUGCACGGGCUGGCCCAUCACUGCCAGCUGGACCCCGACCAUGAGGGCAUCCCUGAAGAUACCGAUGAUUUUGGGGAGUUUCGGAUGAGAGUGUCAGAUUUGGUGAAGGACAUUGUCUUCCUGGUUGGGUCUGUGGAGUGCUUUUCCCAGCUGUAUGCCACCCUGAAAGAGGGGAACCCCCCCUGGGAGGUGACAGAGGCCGUGCUCUUCAUUAUGGCCGCCAUCGCCAGGAGUGUCAGUCCCGAGAACAAUCCAACCCUGCUGGAGGUCCUGGAGCAGGUGGUGCUGCUACCCCAGACCAUCCACAUUGCUGUGCGCUACACCAGCAUCGACCUGGUGGGGGAGAUGGGUGAAGUGAUUGACCAUAACCCCCGCUUCUUAGAUCCUGUGCUGAAUUACCUCAUGAAGGGAUUACGGGAGAAGGCCCUCUCUUCAGUCUCGGCCAAAGCCAUCCACAACAUGUGCUCUACAUGCAGCGACCUCAUGAUCCAGCACUUCCAGGCCCUGCUGGACAUUGCCCAUGCCCUCGACUCCUUCUUCCUGUCCUCGGAAGCUGCUGUUGGCCUCCUCAAAGGAACAGCCUUGGUUUUAGCCAGGCUUCCACUGGAGAAGAUUGCCGAGUGUAUGAGUGACCUGUGCUCAUUGCAGGUCAUGGUCCUCAAAAAGCUGCUUGCUCAGCAGACCAGCAACGGGAAAUCUGCCGACCCCACGGUUUGGCUGGACAGGCUAGCGGUGAUCUUCAGAAACACGAAUCCCACAGUAGAGAAUGGGCAGACGCAUCCCUGUCAAAAAGUCAUUCAAGAUAUUUGGCCCGUGCUGUCAGAGACACUGAACAAGUACCAGGCCGACAAUCGCAUUGUGGAGCGGUGCUGCCGCUGUCUGCGCUUCGCAGUGCGCUGCGUGGGCAAGGGUUCUGCCUCGCUGCUGCAGCCGCUGGUCACACAGAUGGUCGGCGUGUACCAGCAGUAUCCCCACUCCUGUUUCCUCUACCUGGGCAGCAUCCUGGUAGACGAGUACGGCAUGGAGGAUGGCUGUCGCCAAGGACUGCUGGACAUGUUACAGGCAUUAUGUGUGCCGACUUUCCAACUACUGGAACAGCCCAAUGGCCUCCGUAAUCACCCAGACACCGUGGAUGACCUUUUCCGGCUGGUGACGAGGUUUAUCCAAAGGAGUCCCAUCACUUUGAUGAACAGCCUGAUCAUCGUCCACAUCAUCCAGUGCGCCAUCGCCGCUUCCAUGCUGGACCACCGUGAUGCCAACUGCAGCGUCAUGAAGUUCAUUAGGGACCUCAUUCACUCAGGCGUCAGCAGUGGCCACGAGGAGGGCUUCCACGUUAGGAAGGAGUUCAUCUCGCAGGCUUUGGCACAACACGGCCAGCAGCUGGUCACACAGCUUCUACACUCCUGCUGCUUCUGCCUGCCCUCCUACACCCUGCCAGACGUCGCCGAGGUCUACUUUGAGAUGAUGCUGUUUGAGCGGGAGGCAUUCUGCCGCUGGCUGGAGAACACACUGAAAGGACUCCCCAAGGAGACUGCAGGGGGCGCCGUGACCGUCACACACAAGCAGCUGACGGACUUCCACAAGCAGGUCACCAGGUCCGAGCCCCGGUGCUGAAGAAUGCAAGCAAGUUUGCUGGGCGAUCAGAGACUUCACCAGGCUGUACCGGUAGCCACAACACCAGGACAAACUUUUGUUGGCGACGUUGAGAUGAGAGCAGUGAAGCGGAAGAGUACCAAUGAAAUGGGGGGCUACUCACCAGGAGGACGUGCAUCAGCCCUGCGGGGGCCACACCAGUAGGAGGCCCCCAGGGCUCCAGCUGGGGGAAUCACCGCAAGGGGCACCGUGCUUUUCCUGGGGGGGCCGCUUAAGAGAAUUCGGACCGUGACGAUGCCAAUAAGUCUGCAUCCAGCCAGCCGGGGACGUAACGGGACAAAACGUGGAUGUGCCUGGUAGGAGAAGCUGUAAGAGAUGUCUAACGUGUGGGGGGGAAGGUGAACGAGCGGCAUUGGUUUGCCGUCUGUGCCAUAAAAAUUCAACACACAGCAAACAGCAGCCCCAGCCUCGAGGACAGAGGCAGGGGAUAUGGAGACAGAGGUCUGCAGGUUAGGCCCCUUACAGCCACGGAUGGACUUUUACAGUUUUGAUUGCCAGGCUAAACUGUAACUAUCAAGUGAACUCUGGCGUGGUUUAUUUUAAUUUAGUUUGUUCUUUUUCUCCUCUUAAAAUCAUGAACCGGGUAGCUGACAAAAGACAGAGGGGGGUGUUCCAGCAUUCUGCUCCAUCUGAUGUAGCAUCUCAUGAACAAUAAAACUGAAAUGAGGGCAUCA